CCACAUGGGCACAAUGUGUGAAGCCCAUUUCUGGUAUUCAGAUAUUCUUACCCAUAUUAUCCAGUACUGUGAUCACUUGACUGACCUCCGCGAUGAACUGUGGUGUGAGAUCAUAGCUAUUGGUAGUGUGGAAUUCAGUGUGCAUCUCCACAACCUUAAUGA